GAUCCAAACCAUAUCAGGCAUGGAUUCCCCACUUCCUCCCUGGUGCAUUGCCUGAUCUUGGACAGAAGCUGUGCUUCUCCAUGGUUAGAGAAACACCUACCCACGGGCACUUCCUCCAGGCCUCCAGCUCUGAUGAGCCUCUGAUAAUAUCGUACUCUCCCCUGUCCUUUCAGACACAAAGGAGACAGCUCCUCUAGUCUCUGGUGCCUCAACGUCCCCUCUUGGGUCUUACAUGGUGCCCACAUCUCUGUAAAUAGUCCCUCCACUAAAUUUUCCUCUAUUCCCUAGCUGAGUGUCUCUUCUCUUCUCUGCUGAGUUCUUGACUGCAACAACAAUAAAAGGAGCAAAAGUCUCAGCUGGGCUACUAAUCUUUGGGUGUAAGUCCUCCCUCUCCACUGCAAAGGAUAUAAAAAAUUUAAACAAUAAAAAAUGGUGUUGGCCUUUCACAAGCUAGCAUUUGCCUAUAUCAGAGUGGGCAGAGGUUUUUUUUUUUUUGUCUUUUAGAUAGAGUUUAAGUUCACUGAUAAUGAUACCAUAAGACACAAGCUAAAUUUGUUAAGAUUUGCUGCUUUUUCUAAGAAAAGACCGUCUCAAAUGGUUUAAUCAGAUGUGUCUGGUCUGAUAAGGAUAAUUACACAGUGAGACUGUGGGCAUCACACAGAGAGAGAAAUAGAUCUGUAAAAACCGCUAAUGAAACUUGGACCUAAGGGGAUUUGAACUCACAACCUGACAGCUAGGAAUUAAAUAGUCCAGGAAAUUGGCAGUGGGCUAAACAAUGGAAUUCAGACGGGGCCCCUAGCAGGUGCUAAAUUAUUUCCCUGAGCAGGCUCAUAUUCGGCCGAUGCGCCGAAGACAGGGAAGGAACACACACGUAAAUCAGCUCUUGAUUUCUGACACGGUUUCACCCAGUUGAAGUGGAGAGAGAUGACACUCAGCUCACGGGGUGGUAUCCAAGACCCAUUGAACCUUGGAUGUCAGAGCUGGAAGGCAUCUCAGAAACCUCAGUCUCCACUCUCUCCAUUAUACAGAAAAAGAAAAGGCAUUUUUCUCAAUUACCAAGAAAAAUCCUAAGGCUAGCUUUUGCUGAACUAGAUUUGGAACAUCACAUGCUUCCAGAAUAAGCACAUCAGGGCUCUGUGCUCAGCGGGUUGUAAUGGCACCAGGAACACUUCUUCCCUCCUCCCUGAAGGUCUCUGUGACUUUCCCUUCACCUUGGCUCAUGGUGAGACCCUGCUUGACUAAUGUUCCAGGAUGGCUCAGCACUGCACCUGGAAAUGAGGGCAGAGUGAGGCCUGGUAAUCGCUGGACUUUCAUGAGAGGAGCCUGUCUGCAGUGAAAAUAUCAAGAAAGCAUUUGUUUUGUGCAGUCUUCAGGUUUAGAAAAUCUUUCCUCUUCUGCGAUGAUUUCUUUGGACACACUUAACAAUGAGUCAUGCAAAUUCAGUCACUGAUCUCUCCAACGUUUAUGGAGCUCAGAGAACUUCCCAGGAGUUGUUCUAGGUACUGAUGCUAUGCAGGUAAUGAGACAGACAGAGCCUUUCUCUCCUGAAGCUUCCAUUCCAGUGAGCAAGACAGACCAUAAUAAGAUGCGUUCCAUUUCAGAUGGGAAUACUUAUUUUGAACAAUGACAAAAGUGUGCCAAGAGGAAUUCUAGAGAAGUGGCCAGGAGCAAGGCUCUGUGUUCAAGUUAGUGUUUCUGAAUUUUAAGGGAUGUAAAUAUUUGGAAUUCAGAGAAGAAAAGGAAAUUCCCGGGAAUUCUCAAGGAUUCAUGAAAUCAUGGGUUAUUCGUAAAACAUUUUUAAUGUUUUUCAUAUUUUUUACUCACUUUUAUCCAUGUAUAACAGAUCAGAAAUAUUCAGUUAAGUUGCAUUUACAAAUAUCUGUAGCCUAUAGUGAACAGGCAAACACUGUAAAACACCAGCACGCAUUCAAACACAGUAAAACAUCAGUUUCUAGAAAACAUCCGAUUAGGAUUUCAUAUUAAGAUUAGCAGUGAUGCAUAGAAGCAUAGAACUGGGUGUCAAAAUUGCCAAUUUAGGGACUUACUUGCUUCCAAGGUGUGUUAUUUUUGAUACAUCCUUCCUGGAGUGUGUAUAAAGUAUACUAUGACUGCAAGUGUAUUAGCUUUUCUUUUAUCAGCAACAAUGACUCACUUUUGGCAGCAGACAGAGCCACCAGCAGACAUCAUAGUACGGCCACAACUACAAUCAAGACUGACCCAUGAAAUCAUACGGGUUCUACUUCUACGUGCUCCUGUCCCAGUGACCCCAAAUGUUAACUUUGAUGCUGGAUGCCCUUCUCUGUGUUCCCUGUGCUUGUGUAUUCCCGUGAUGUCCGUGGAUUCUUCUGAUCUAGACACAUCUCUGUGGAUAGUUAAGGUUUCAUUCACACUUGAGAACUGCCACACAUCUCCUCAAUUUCUCCACUGAUUAUUUCCAGGAUUGGAGAUUUGAAAAAGCGGAUAAGGUCCUUGAGAAAUGUCAGGAAGGGAUUCCUGCAUAGGAACAUGAACUCAGGCUGCCGGGAUCUGAGUAGCAGCUGUGACAUCUAUUAGAACACACCCGCUUUGUGAUGAUGGGCUUGUUACCUACCUCUGUGUGACUGUUCUCUCAUCCAUGAGAUGGCAUCAUAAUUAGCACAUGUGGCAUGAGACUGCAGUAGAUUAAAUUCUCUAAUGUAUAUAAAUGAGUUCUAACUGCAUUGGGCAUCCAGUUAGCGCUCAAAAAAAUGUUAGCUCCUAUUAAAAAGUUUGCAUUCGGGAGAGCCAAAUACCACAUGACGAUGACCAGGGAUGGAUCUCUGAAGACAGAGUGCUAUAUAUGACAUGUUUCUUAUGUGUUUCUAUAUGACUGUGGAUUUAAAGGCAAUCCAGACUGCCAGAGACAGAGAAGCCAAAGUGCAUCUGGGAAGCAAAUGUGUGACUGCACAUCACUGGACAUCAAGUGUGGAUUAUGUCUUCACAUCAAACUGGAAGACUAGAGAAGCUGAACAUAUGAGUGAGCUCAGCUAAGAGACCAAGGAAAGAGGAGAAAAGAGGAACCAAGUGAUAGGUGAUUGAAAGAUAUGACUAGGCGGGAAGGCCAGUCUCGUGUCUCCCACUGCUUGUAUGAGAAGGGCAAAGAGAGAGGCUUGAAUGCUCUUUCCAUCCUUCCCCUGUAGCUUGUUUCCGGAGCUCAUCUUCAUCCUUCAACACUCAGCUUCAACGUCACCAUCUCCAGGAAGACUAUGCAGAUAUAUCCAGGUUUGCAUGAACAGAGUAAGUUCUCCAAGGUGUCUAUUGACCUACUCUGCACUGCUGUAAUUAUUUACAUCUCCCCUUUUGGUUGGAUGAAUAGUCCUUAAAAGGCAGGAACAGUCCCUCAGAGCUGAAUCUGUGAUCUGACACACGGUAGGUGCCUAAUAAAAAUAUACGUCAAAUGAAUAACAGAAUAAAAUUUAAAAUAUGCAUCUGUAAUUAAAGUCCAACAGAUAAAAUAAGUACUGUUUUUGUAAGUGCUUGCAAGAAACAGACACUAAUGCAACUCUGGCUUAGACCAAAGAAUAGUAAUUUGUUGGAUUAUAUGACUGGGAAAUUCAAAGGGUGGGUCUGGAUCCAAACAUGGUUGAAUCCAGGAUUGAAACUUUAUCAUCAGGACAUAUUCUUGGCUCUGCUUUUCUCUAUCUCAAUUUCCAAGCAGACUCUCAAAGAUGGUGAAAGGAAGCUGGGGGCUUAAGAGAAACCAGUUCCAGGUCCCCACUGGAAAGAUGGGUGGCUUCCCUAUAGCUCCAGCCAAUGUCCUGGGAUGGAAUUUCAUUGGCCAUGCUUGAGUCACAUGACCAUCCCUGACCAAUCACUGUGGCCAAGAGGUUGAGCAUUCUGAUUGGCUGGGGCUGGGUGACAUCACUUGCACCUGCUACUGUGGUGGAACCCAGAGGAGAUUAAAAGGGAGGAGGCUCCUCUGCACCCUCGGGUAUCACAGGAAUUUGGGAUGAUGACAGAGCAGACAUGCCAAGGUCAAGUCAUUUGAAUUUGGCUUGAAAACCAGAAAGAAUUUAGGCAUGUGGGGACACUCUGUGUGGGAAGGCAUGGCAGAAUGACCUGUUCUGUGCUUGAACAGCUGUAAUGGACUAAAUGUUUGGAAAUACAGGUUAGAUCCAGGUCCCAAAGGGCCCUGAUUGCUAGGCAGCAGGAUUCCAAUUUGCUCAGAAGGCAAUGGAAGGCCACUGAAGCUUUUCACUCGGAAGGAGGCAAGCCCAGAACCGCGCUUUAGAGGGAUUAAUCAAGCAGCUGUGUGUAAAAUACCCUGGGUAAAUGUCCGAAAAGCAUUUCAAUAGCCUAGGUAACAGAUAACGAAGCUCUCAAUGUGCUGAGAAGAGCACACACGUGACACUUGGAUUCAGGAACAGCUGAGGACAGAAUUGACACUCCUGAAAUAUAUUUUUCUACCCAGGCCAGCUCCUCCACUUCAGCCACUCUGCAUCUGAGGCUGGCAUUUAGUAGAUAAAGCAAAGACAUUUUCAAGGGCUAUCAUUACUGUGCAUUACACAAAGCUUUGUGUGUGUGUGUGUGUGUUUUCUCCCCUGGCUUCUGACUCGGAGGAGUGGCUUUUUUCUUUCUGUUGCAGAAAGAAGAGGGGUGGUGAGCAAAGAAAUGAGCUCCAUCUCUAUCUGUAGACUCUGACCCUGGCUGAUUCCUUUGUGCACUGUGACAAAUGGAGACACAGAAGAUGGAAAACCACAUUCCUAAUUUCUUUCCCUGACAGACACCUAUUAGCAUUCUGUAUUGCAAAGAAGACCUGAAAGACGUGGAUGCAAAUAUCAUCAAGGCAGCAUCUCUGCAUCCACAGGAAGACAAUUAAACACACACAAGUUGCCUACACCUCCAGCCUCAGACAAGCUCCAAGGGCUGCCUUGAAGUC
rnacentral:lncRNA from 1 species